AGUCGUAACAAGGUUUCCGUAGGUGAACCUGCGGAAGGAUCAUUACCACACCAAAAUAAGCAACCGUGAACGAAAUAUAUUUACCUGAUUUAUUUCAGGUUUUAUGUUUUUACUCUUUAUAUUUUUAAAACUCUGCAAAUUUUUUUCAAUUUCAUCAGUGGAUGCCUAGGCUCGCAAAACGAUGAAGAACGCAG
rnacentral:misc_RNA from 1 species